rnacentral:rRNA from 1 species
GACGAACGCUGGCGGCGUGCUUAACACAUGCAAGUCGAACGGAAAGGCCCUGCUUUUGUGGGGUGCUCGAGUGGCGAACGGGUGAGUAACACGUGAGUAACCUGCCCUUGACUUUGGGAUAACUUCAGGAAACUGGGGCUAAUACCGGAUAGGAGCUCCUGCUGCAUGGUGGGGGUUGGAAAGUUUCGGCGGUUGGGGAUGGACUCGCGGCUUAUCAGCUUGUUGGUGGGGUAGUGGCUUACCAAGGCUUUGACGGGUAGCCGGCCUGAGAGGGUGACCGGCACAAUGGGACCUGGAUUCCGCCCCGACUCCUACGGGGAGCAAGAGGUGGGGAAAUUGCACAAAGGGCGGAAGCCUGAUGCAGCAACGCCGCGUGCGGGAUGACGGCCUUCGGGUUGUAAACCGCUUUCGCCUGUGACGAAGCGUGAGUGACGGUAAUGGGUAAAGAAGCACCGGCUAACUACGUG